rnacentral:rRNA from 1 species
GACAGAGGUGCCGAGCGUUAGGCGGAAUCACUGGGCUUAAAGCGUGUGUAGGCGGGCGGGCAAGUACCUUGUGAAAUCCCACGGCUCAACCGUGGAACUGCUGGGUAUACUGCCUGUCUUGAGCCAGCUAGGGGCGAGCGGAACAGACGGUGGAGCGGUGAAAUGCGUAGAUAUUAGGAAGAACACCAGUGGCGAAGGCGACUUACUGGACUGUAACUGACGCUGAGGCAUGAAAGCGUGGGGAGCAAACAGG